AUCGCGGUACAGUAAACGCGGAUU
rnacentral:siRNA from 1 species